UUGGCUGUUAUUUCAUGUGCA
rnacentral:piRNA from 1 species